CCUACGGGAGGCAGCAGUGGGGGAUAUUGCACAAUGGGGGAAACCCUGAUGCAGCAACGCCGCGUGAGUGAAGAAGUAUUUCGGUAUGUAAAGCUCUAUCAGCAGGGAAUAAAUAAGAAGGUACCUGACAAAGAAGCCCCGGCUAACUACGUGCCAGCAGCCGCGGUAAUACGUAGGGGGCAAGCGUUAUCCGGAUUUACUGGGUGUAAAGGGAGCGUAGACGGACAGGCAAGUCAGAAGUGAAAGCCCAAGGCUCAACCCGGGGACUGCUUUUGAAACUGUCAGACUAGAGUACGGGAGGGGCAGGAGGAAUUCCUAGUGUAGCGGUGAAAUGCGUAGAUAUCAGGAGGAACACCAGUGGCGAAGGCGGCCUACUGGACCGAAACUGACGUUGAGGCUCGAAAGUGUGGGGAGCAAACAGGAUUAGAUACCCGAGUAGUC
rnacentral:rRNA from 1 species